rnacentral:tRNA from 1 species
GGAUGCAUGACUGAGUGGUUUAAGGUGUGAUAUUUGAGCUAUCAAGACAUUUGUCCACGUGUUCGAAUCACGUUGCAUCCG